ensembl:lncRNA
CCCCCACUCACUCUGCUGCCCCUCUUCGUCGCUCUCUUCCUCGCUGUCGUCCCUGUAGUUGAUUGGCCCGUCCGAGUCCGUCUCCUCCUCGUCCUCCUCGCUGUCGCCCGGCCCGCCCCCCUCGGGGAUGGCGCUGACCACCAGCCCCCGCCGGCUGCGUGGCUCCAGCUCCGGCUGGCGGGGGAACCGCGGGGGAGGGUGCAGCUUGGCCAGCUCCUCCUCCAUGUCGAAGUCAUCGUCCUCUUGCCUGGGGGAGAGAGAGAGGGAGAGAGAAGGGUAGAGGGAGGGAGAGAGAGAAGGAGAGAGGGAGAGAGAGAAGGGGAGAGAGAGAGAGAGAGGUAGAGAGAGAAGGAGGUAGAGAGAGGGAGAAGGAAGAGGGGAAGGUAGAGAGAAAGAAAGGUAGAGAGAGAAAGAGGAAGAAGGAGAGAGAGGAAGGUUUAGAGAGAAGGCGAGAGAGGAAGGUAGAGAAAGAGAGAGGGAGAGGUGGAAGGAAGAGAGGAAGGUUUAGAGAGAGGAAGGUUUAGAGAGAGGAAGGUUUAGAGAGAGGAAGGUUUAGAGAGAGGAAGGUAGAGAGGGAGAAGGAGCGAGAGCGAGAGCGAGAGAGAGAGGUGUGAGAAGAGUAUACUUUUCUCCUGAUGCAGGGCAGAUAUGAAUUACACAACCGGUAUUUUAAUGAGGGUUUUGUAUUUGGAGCUCGGCACAAACAAAACACUUCACUAUUUAAUUGAAACAUGCACUCUGAAACUUUUCUAAGGCAGAUAUUGAACUCCAUUAACACCAUAUUUCAACUAGAAAGUUUGUCCACAAUAGAACACGAUCCAACGCAAGCCAAUCCAUCCGGGGAACAAUUUCACCCAUUCUCAAAGUGUUAAUGACCUCCAAACAUAUUAACCCAACUCGUUACAUCGAUAAUCACAUUGGGGCCAUUCAGGGCUAAUUAACGAUCUACAAACAAUAAAUGGAGAUACGGUUAGUGACAUCGUUAAGAGAGCAUGCCGUGAGAGAGAAGCCCAACACACUCCACAGAGAACGAAACCAAACCCACAUCCACAUCUGACGCUCUUCUUCCUCACGCUGCAAAAGCCUGAUCUCCGUUAUCACGAUAUCUGAUAGCGGUCUCAGCGGGCGUGUUUGCUCGGCGUCAACAGAGGUGGGGG